rfam:TPA: Bos taurus chromosome 11, whole genome shotgun sequence.
AUUAAGGUGAGAGAGACUGGUAACUGUGUAAAACUUAAACCUUUAUAACCAGAGAUUCAAAUCCUCUCCUUGACA